CACGUAGGGCGCGAGCGUUGUCCGGAUUUACUGGGCGUAAAGAGCGCGCAGGCGGUCGUUCAAGUCGCGUGUGAAAGCCCCCGGCUCAACUGGGGAGGGUCACGCGAUACUGAUCGACUCGAAGGCAGGAGAGGGUAGUGGAAUUCCCGGUGUAGUGGUGAAAUGCGUAGAUAUCGGGAGGAACACCAGUGGCGAAGGCGACUACCUGGCCUGUUCUUGACGCUGAGGCGCGAAAGCUAGGGGAGCAAACGGG
rnacentral:rRNA from 1 species